GAUGAACGCUGGCGGCGUGCCUAAUACAUGCAAGUCGAGCGAACGGACGAGAAGCUUGCUUCUCUGAUGUUAGCGGCGGACGGGUGAGUAACACGUGGAUAACCUACCUAUAAGACUGGGAUAACUUCGGGAAACCGGAGCUAAUACCGGAUAAUAUUUUGAACCGCAUGGUUCAAAAGUGAAAGACGGUCUUGCUGUCACUUCUAGAUGGAUCCGCGCUGCAUUAGCUAGUUGGUAAGUUAACGGCUUACCAAGGCAACGAUGCAUAGCCGACCUGAGAGGGUGAUCGGCCACACAGGAACUGAGACACGGUCCAGACUCCUACGGGAGGCAGCAGUAGGGAAUCUUCCGCAAUGGGCGAAAGCCUGACGGGGCAACGCCGCGUGAGUGAUGAAGGUCUUCGGAUCGUAAAACUCUGUUAUAAGGGAAGAACAUAUGUGUAAGUAACUGUGCACAUCUUGACGGUACCUAAUCAGAAAACCACGGCUAACUACGUG
rnacentral:rRNA from 1 species